AGAGAAGGACCACAGAAUGUGGCUUGGAGAUGCUUUGAAUAAGCUUUCUUCAAGCACAGACAUAUUCUAUGAAAAUUGAAAACUCUGGAUGGUUCCUAUGAUAAAAGUUGAAAAUGCCACUUGGGGUCUAGGAAACAAUAUUUAAUUUCAAGAAAUUGAAGCACUUCACUCAGGUUCAUCAUGUCAGGGUAAUGCAACAUAAGAAUUCUUACUUACUGGAGGACCAGGUGGACCAGAAGCCUGGAAUAUACACUCCUUGCUUGCAUGGAACUUGAAUGGCACACAGGUAUGUUGUACUCACUGCAUCA